UAUAUCCUCAUAAAAUGAUCUAUUAUUCUGGUAUCUCCUCGCAAAAAACUCAAUUUUUGUUGUGGUCGGCAUUUCUAAACCAAAACUCAAACCCCAAAUUUUCUUCUCUCUCCCCGUGUCUCUCAAAACUCCAAAUCCCAUCCCGGUGAAACCCCAACUCCUUACUCCUCACCAUCUCUUUCACUGACCUUCGCUUCCCCCUCCGUCAUCUGCGAGUCGCCGGAGCCGCGUCGAAGAGCCUUGUCGCUGCUGCUGCUCCUUUCUUUCAUUCUCCUCAUGGUUUGCAUAUCCCCUGUUUUGUUCUAUUGUGCUGCCGCAGACGUGAGGAUUGUCGCGCCACCAUCUUGUCUCGCAGGAGGUUUUGCUGCUGGUGGUGGUCGUGUGUAGCUGGUGUUGUAGAUGUUCCCCUGCACCUUAUCGUGAUGCAUUGUGGUUCCUCCCUCUCUUCAGUUUGUUCGUUGCUACUGCUGUGGUGGCGGUGUUGGCGCCGCCGUGGCCUGCUACGACCAGCGCUUCGCUAUUGGUGGUGGUGAUUGUCGCCACUACUUCUGGUGUUGUCGGUUUAGGUUUGGUGUGGUGAGCUCGGAAUUGGAUGUGAAGCAAGAUUAUGAUGUUGUCCUAGAUUAAGGAUUUAGUUUGUAUUUUAGAUAGUUGAUUUGAGAAUAGUUCUCAAAGAUAUUUUCGUUGUAUAUUAUAUUUGGUAUUAAGUGGAACUAUUGAUGUAAUUAAGGUUGUUUUUUUGCUGCAAUUUUAUUAAUCAAGAUUUGGAUUCUAGUU